rnacentral:precursor_RNA from 1 species
AUGGCCGCCCCCGGGGGGUUGAUGGGGAUGGGCGCUCGGGGGUGAUCGUCUGCUACCAAACCGCACCACCGUCCCCCUGUCCCUCAUCCACUUCUCGACGGCCGGCU